AUGGGCUCGCGUUCUAUCAGCUAGUUGGUAGGGUAAUGGCCUACCAAGGCUACGACGGAUAGCUGGUCUGAGAGGACGAUCAGCCACACUGGGACUGAGACACGGCCCAGACUCCUACGGGAGGCUGCAGCAGGGAAUAUUGCGCAAUGAGCGAAAGCUUGACGCAGCGACACCGCGUGUGGGAUGACGGAUCUAGGUUUGUAAACCACUUUCAGGAGGGAAGAAAAUGACGGUACCUCCACAAGAAGCCCCGGCCAA
rnacentral:rRNA from 1 species